rnacentral:lncRNA from 1 species
UCAUGGAUGCCUAGAAGUCUUCUUGGUAUCCUGUCUUCAUUCCUUUCUAGAUACCUCUUUGUACUUCUCCCCCCAUUGGAUCUAGGUAAGGUAAGGCCUGUUUGUCCUGGAUCCUCACCUCAGAGUGAAUGUCUUGCUGUAAGGAUCUCCUCUGAUGGAAGAACUUUGAUAUCUUCUUUUGCCAGAAGACCACCUCCUUCCCAGAGUGAGGCUGGGGAGAAAUGAAGGCCACACACAGGCCAGGCAUUAGACAAUCUGGGGGUACCUGCUCUCUCCUCUGAGAACGCCUCUUCCCACCCAAUGGGAUGGCCCUCACUUGCCUUGCUUUAACCCUCCAGCCUCAUCUCAUCCCCUUCCUACCUGAACCCCAUGCCCCUAUGCCACAGAAUCCUGCUGGUUCCUGUCAGGUCAUGCUUUGUAUCACCCCAAAACCUUCAAACCUUGGCACCCCAGCUCUCUUUCUUGGGACUGCCUGUCCUAAUACUUUCCCCCUGUUUAACUCUCCUUUAUUUUUUCAGGCUCAGUUUUAGAGGACCCUCUUUGCAAAGCCUUCCCUGUCUCCUCCAGGGUGUAUUACAUUAGCAGCCCCUCCGUGGUUUCACAGUUCCUUGCACAUGCCUCCAUCAUAGUACUUCCUGGACCAUUCUGCUGAAAUAGGCUCCCCUGUCUCGUUAUUCUCCACUCCAGAACUCUGCUUAAUUCUCUUGUAAGUGAUGGUUAUUUGUAAUGAUUUCAUUACUGGGUUGUUUAC